rnacentral:lncRNA from 1 species
GCAUUACAUCAAAUUGCUGCUUUUUGAGUAGGGCCUCUCUAUGGGUCUAUGGCCUCUAGGAAAUAAAAUAAUAAAUGACUAGUUGCUAAUUUUGGAAUUUUAGCCCAGAAACAGAGCACAUUUGUUGAGCACCCGUAGUGCGUGAUAAACACGUCAUUUUGCAAAGAUGGUUAUCUUGAAGCACAACUCAUGCACCAUAAAAUGGUUCUGGUGCGUUUUGAUGUAGAGCAAAGUAGUGCUCUGUGUUUUAGAAACUUUAUAUGCACUUCGUUAGAUUAUGCAACCACCUUUCAACCAGUGAACUGAACACCUUUCUUUGUACUUCUAUUUGCUAAGAUGAACGUCUACAUUGUUCUACAUGUAGGCAUCGAGUCUAGAGUAUACAUUACUUUCUGCACAUAUUGUAAGAGUACUGUAGACCCAUCAAGGACCCACAAUAUUUACCUGACGAACCUGAAGGAAAAAAAAACAAAGGCUCAGAAAAGUGCAUCUAGGAUCUGCUUAGGCUCAUCCUGGGCAUAGCUCAACAUGAAGUUAUCAGGCUGGCUUAAUCGGGCCAAGCUGUCAGGGCGACCUUGUGGUUUUUGGGGGGUGGAAGUUGCUAGGUGGGCCAAGCUGUCAGGGCGACCUUGUGGUUUUUGGGGGUGGAAGUUGCUAGGUGGGCGGUGGGCCAAUCCUGGUCCAUCCUGCAUAUAGGGGGGACCAGUUCAUGUGUGUUUUCCAGUAUGGGUUUCUUCAGUUAACCCGGUGGUUCACUGAUCACAACUGUUAG